rnacentral:rRNA from 1 species
AUUGAACGCUGGCGGCAGGCCUAACACAUGCAAGUCGAGCGAGCGGCGGACGGGUGAGUAAUGUCUGGGGAUCUGCCCGAUGGAGGGGGAUAUCUACUGGAAACGGUAGCUAAUACCGCAUACCAUCAGAUGUGCCCAGAUGGGAUUAGCUAGUAGGUGGGGUAAAGGCUCACCUAGGCGACGAUCCCUAGCUGGUCUGAGAGGAUGACCAGCCACACUGGAACUGAGACACGGUCCAGACUCCUACGGGAGGCAGCAGUGGGGAAUAUUGCACAAUGGGCGCAAGCCUGAUACAGCCAUGCCGCGUGUGUGAAGAAGGCCUUAGGGUUGUAAAGUACUUUCAGCGGGGAGGCGUUACCCGCAGAAGAAGCACCGGCUAACUCCGUGCCAGCAGCCGCGGUAAUUC